UCGACGCGUUCACAACGCCAGCGAAAGAGAGAAUCGCGUGUUGCCGUUGCCGUUGCCGUCGCUGCCAAAUGGCUUGAGAAACUGUAAACUUGACUUUGAAUCUCGAUCUGUUGGCCCAUUCAUUCCUCCGACUGAUUCGACCAACCCCGCCGCCGACCACUUGUCGUCCGUCUCUCCCACACUCACUCACUCACUCAGCCAAGCUGGUGUUGGGGCUCCGUUGUGACCGUGAACAGCAGCAACAACAACGUCGACAACAACAAAAGUGAAAUUGUCUUAAAUAAUAUUUAUGUAUGUUAAUUUUCGUUGCCAAAUUGAUAACCGUUAACAGCAGCAGCAGCA